GGUUACGUCACUCACGCUGAGACUCAGCGGGGCUGGACCAAUGAAGGAGGUCCACCCAUUCACUGCAUCAGAACCCGACUCUAGCAGCGGUCAGUUGAACAGAAUUCGGAGGAGCGGCUGAAAACUGCGGUUUGACAUAUAAGUAUACCAGAGGAAGAUAAAAACAAAAGGAUGUCGUACCCUGCCUAUGGAUAUGAGUGGAGGUCGGGCAGCCGAGGGGGUGGCUACGAUUCCUGGGAUAAAAAACACUACGGCACAGACCCCAGGGAUAUACACAUGAAUACGUUAGGAAAGGGUUCAGAUUCGCAUUUAGUGCAGAUGCAGCCCAGUGAAAUCUUUACUGAGGUGCGGCCAUCUUGGAGCUGGUGUUCCAUGGGCUGGGCCGUAUUCGUCACCCUCUGCUGUUGGCCUUUCAACCUCCUCGGCGCCUGCGGCGUCCUCUGCUCCAUGCUCAGUUAUACCGACCACAAGAGCCAAGACUACGAGCGCUCUCGGUACAAGAGGCGCUGCGCGUGGGGCUGCACCAUAGCGGGGCUUAUCUUGGGAUUUAUCGUCAUCACCCUAGCGGUCGUCCUAGUCUUUGUUGUAUAUCCAACCCUCAUACCUGGACUAAAGGAUUCAGAAGCCUACAAAAACUGGGACAUCAGGCCUUAGUUUAUAUAUACUAGUGAUUAUAUAUUAUAUUUUAUAUAACUAUCGGUCAUGGACUUUCCAUUUGUCUUUUUCGCUUCAGUUGGUAAAUUUAUUGCAAAACACGAGGAUACCUAGAUGCAGAAAAAACACUGAAUAGAAGCUGAAGUUUAUGGUCAGAGAGCGGAGGAAACACCUGCCAUAGAAUUCAUUGUCUUCACGGAGAUCUCAUCUUACCAAUGCAAAAAUUAUUCAAGAUGGCAUCAUGGAGUGACUAACAGAGCGCAACGUGUGUAAUGUGUGUAUAAACUUUUGGACUGUGUGCCUUUCCGCAAAAAAUCUUAUAUAGACGGACGACAGGAGGAGCUCAUAUACGUCAAAAGGAAUAUCUAGAUAAUUGUUUCCUAUUUUAGUCAUACCUCGUGUUCGUGGAGGGGAAUGUAAUGGUCAGGUCUUUAAUCGAUAUGGACUUUCGUUUUACUUCGGAUUACUUGGGAUCCACUUUCGUUUUCAUUAAAGACAAGGCAAUUACAACUGUAUUGAAGCUUAUGUAAAGUACAAGCUCAAGGAACUCUUCGAAACAUUCCUAUGCUUAAGUUGACUGACAAGUUUUUUUAGAAACAUUAUUCGCGACAAAAGUGUAAGUCGCAGAAACUGGUUUAGACCUGACACCGGAGUUUUUGUAGCUACUGAAUGAUCAUUUACCAGAUUUUUAUUUACUCUAUCUUCCUGAACAAACAUUGAAAAAUGCAAAUUUUCCCAUGCGCAGAUUUUGCUACUGUCACACCCAAUUUCUUAGAGCACUUUUACAAUCGACAAACACAACUAGUCAGAAACGUUGUACUGGCUGAACAGAUUUGUAUGAAAAAGAAGAACCACCCUGGGAUGCGUUACCCGUUUUAAUGCGUGGGGCUUUCUUAAAAUUGCACUGAAGUCGCACAGGCAUAUGUAUAUUAAUAGAAUUUAUCUUUGUGACGUCAGUGUCUGUGACGUCAAUGCCAGUUCAUUGUGACGUCACAAAAUGAUGGCUUCCAUUGUCCAUUGUUAUAUUAAUGUAGAUCUUUAUGACUAAUAUGUUGUACAUAUUUCAACAAAAUAAAACUUUAACUGCCUUAUCGACAAUGGUUCCUUUUCGGGAGACAUCGUUUUGUAGAAUGUGAAAACUCGACAAUUUGAACCCUGAUGUAGUAUCUUUAGCUGUUAUAAUCUCUCUAGCUCAUAUUUUACUAUGAAAGUCUGACUGACAUUGAGUCGGGCGUCUCACACAGUUAGCCAAAGUAGAAAGUUUGCUAAGUGCUUUUAAUAUUAAUGCAUACAAUUGAUAUUUUUUAAUAAAAUCAAAUAUACGGGAAUAAUAAAAUA
rnacentral:misc_RNA from 1 species